rnacentral:lncRNA from 1 species
AGAGGCCUGACUCGCCCCUCCAGGAGCCCCUGUUUUAAGAAGGAGGCCAAAUGUGCAGGCUCAGGCCAAGGGGCAGAGAUGAAUGAGGCGAUGACCACAGCCUUGAUCCGGCAAGAGCUCAGAGAUGCCCGGGAAGACGGGAAGACUGGGGGCCCGAACGGAAGCAGAAAAACACUUAUGGCCGCUGGGGAGUUGGGAGAGCCAGGCUGGGGCUUCGGCAGGCCCAGGGAAAGUUCCCUUUCUAGGCUCUUUAUUAAAAAAUUUAGAAGGAGGAGUUGAGGCGCCUUGAAUUUUCCUUCGCGAGUUUGGAGACUAGCCGAUUUUUCAUGAAGCAAGCAAAGACCGCGGUCCCGGAUCCGGCAACAUCUACCUCAUUCUCUCCAGGCCUCUCCACUUGCCCGAGCUCUCAGCCACCAGGAGACAGAAGGAAGGGACUUCUGGGCUGCGUUGGGAGCGGGCACUGUCCCCUAUCUACUCCUGCUCGGUUUCCCAAAGUCCAGCGACAUCCGACCCUCCUGGGGGGAAAAAUACCAGUACCCAGACACCUCUGCACCCUGUUAUAUGACUGGGCUUGCUUCAGGAAUAUCUUACAAAGAAGAAGAAGAAGAAGAAGAAAGAACAGCUUGGAGUCAUGUUUACAUCUAGUUCUACUGACCGGUUCCCAUCUGGAGAGUUUAUUUAUAACUCCCUCUAUAACUCUCUGUUUGGAGGCACUGGUGGCUCUAUUGACAGACUGAUGUCUAGGAAAUAUUGCUCUAUGUCUAACCGUACCUAAAUGUGCUGUGGUUGUAUUUAC